rnacentral:lncRNA from 1 species
AAUGAAUGGCAACUCAGAAUCUCUUGCCCUAUUGAAUAAGGCUCAAGCUCAGAGUCUGUCCAGACCAAGAAGGUCUGAGGUCAAGAAGGGUCACUGCACCUUCUGCAACAUGGAUGGCCACACUCGGGAAGGGUGUUUUAGACUGAUUGGGUAUCCUGAUUGGUUCAAGGCUAAGAACAAGAUAGGAACCCAAUCUUUCAAAGGCAAUAGAAGCACCAAAGUUAUGGCUGCUGUUGAAGGGAACAAAUCAGAAGAGGAUAACCCUUUGGAAUAUCUA